AUUAGAAUGACUGUGAAGCACGGGUUUCUCCAAGUUCAGUGACGUUUGAAAGAUGCUGAGUGUGUCACAAAACGGUGGUGUUCCUCAGCACCCUGAGCGGAGGUGGGAGGUGACUCAUGAGAUGUCUCCAGCUCGUGGAAACAGCCAAUCUUCCUUGCCCGCCUUCCAGCGGACCGUCCAGAACACCAGGGACUCCGCAACGCAGGGUGCACAAUGACAGUGGCACCAAGCGCGUCAUGUGGCCCUUCCUGUGAGUGCUGGGGCGUCACAGCAACCCUGCCACUUCACAGAUGGGGAGACUGAGCCAGAGAGGCCAAGGGGCGUGCUCACGGUCAGAUAACGAAAUCGUGAGUUUAUUAGGAAGCCUGUCAGCCACCUUCCUGCCUCAGAAAGAAAGUUUUUUUGAGGACAUGACUCUAUGGAAAUGCCCAAUUCUGAACACAAUGAGAACACUCAUCUCCUUUCUCUGGAUUUCAUAAGCACAAGCCAAGGGACAUGAUAUUUCUAUUCUCAGCUCACUGUCCCUCCAGGGGCUUUGGGGACACUUUUAAAAAUCACAUGCAAUCCACAGGGGUCACAGAUCUUACAGGGAUCUUUUGGUUUUCAUCAUUUUAUUUGUUUGUGUUUAAAUAUGAGCAUUACCAUGUGACACUGUCAAGGAAUCGAAGACAAGGACCUUUGUAUUGAUUGCUUUGCACAUAGGAGUUCAGUAAGAAUGGAAAUUCAGAGAUGCCUGUAUACGAGUCCCACCACACAGGUGUGGGCUCUACCUAGACAGAAAAAAAGCAUUUGGUCAUGGUGCAAAAAUGACUUUUCUGGACUUCUGUGUUGCAUACCAGCUGCUCUGCUGUAUCCGUAGGGUUCUGUUUCUCCACAUACCACCAGGACAUCAUUAUAAUGCCACACACUUCUCACCUGGCCUGGCUUCUCCUGAGGACACCAUUAUAAUGAGUCUCCCUGCAUGACUUUGCAAGGAUUAUUUUUUAAGAAGCUUAGAGUUCAUUACAGACAUUAUCCUGCAAAUUCUCCAAGCACCCAGAGAAGUAUAUUAAUAUAUUUAUUCCUCUUUUCCAAGCCACAGAGAAGAGCUUUGCCUGAGAAGGGGGUUUGUCUGUUGCCAGACUAAUGCUCAAUUCAGUUCCCAGUUAAUUCAACCUAAAUAACCAAUAUGGAGCCUUUGAAAGGAGAACACUGAAGAACCC
rnacentral:lncRNA from 1 species